GCCGGGCCCGUCCCCCGGCGUCCCUCGGUGCCGCCCCGCGGGCUCGGGCGACGCCUCCCGGUGCUCCGCCCCUCUGCUCCCCGUGCCCUCCGCGCCCCGUCCCGUCAGCGCCCCGUCCCGGUCGUUCGCGCCUUGGGCGCUCACCUCAGCGCCUCACCUUCACCUCUCCGGAGCCGCCCUCCUCAGCGCCUCGUCCCGCACCUUGGGCGCUCCCCUCAGCGCCUCACCUCAACCCCUCCGGGGCCGCCCCCUCACGGAAUGGCGGCUCCCCUCAGCGCCUCGCCUCCCUGCACCCAAAGGCUGCUUUCCUCAAGCGCCGCACCCCGACGGUGGGGCUGUUCCCUUCAAGAGUUUCCCUCUUCAGCCUCAACUUGGAUAGUCAGGGUCCCUCUGAAGCUGCCCUUUUCCCUCAAGGAUUGAUCCCGCUCUGUGCCUCAUGUUCCCCACAGGGUAAUUUCUCCCCUCUUGUCACACCUUUUUUUGACUGCCCUUCUUUCCUUCCAGAAUGUCCUCCCUUCCCUUCCCUUGUGUGCACUUCCAUCACUUCCUCGAAGGAAUCCUGUCACCUCUCCAGGAGCCUUUUCCUGAAGGACACAUGAGCAAGCAGGAAUUUAAUGCAAGUAGCCUUUCAUGGAGGGAAGUAUUUAAAUGCUGCCCAUCAGUGAGGAAGAGUGUUUGGAAGCUCAACAGAUCCCUCAGUGGUUGUCCUGAAUUUCUGAAUCUCUAAUGUCUCAGAAGACUCAUUAUUAAUAUCCCAAAAUAGCCAGAUGGCAUGAAACAGUAAAGGCCAAAUAAUUCAUCAUUCCACAGACUUGUGAUGGACUGGUCCCCAGAAGAAUCCAGGCUGGUUGAAAAUCUUUUCAUGUGCUACAGGAGACAGCUCACACUGGGACACCCAGCUCAGGUGCUUGUGAAAUCAGCUGUUAUUUCAUGUAAGCCCAACAUUUGUGAUGUUAUUUGUAUUAUUUUCAUUCUUUUGAUUCAAGCUGAUAACCAGUUCGGAGAUUACUGAGUUACUGAGUGCUACAUGAUGAUGCUACACAUGGCCUUGAUGAAGUCCUGCUUAUUUAUGAAGCAUGAAAAAGUCUUCUUUCCUAGAGUGUUGGGUUAAGUAAAGCUCAGACUUUGCACAGUGCUUUCACCAAAGCCAGUGUUUUGACAAAAAUAACCAACAAAAGUGCACUCUCAAAGUUUUCUCUUGCAUCAGCAGUCACAAAAAGCCAUUUUCCUUUCUCCCUCUGUCCCUGACAUGUGCACGUGUUUGGUUUUAUCUAUCUCUCACACAAACACAAAGCUCCAGAUUUCAAGUGCCCUUUUGGCACUUUCUGUGUCAGCCCAAAGGGAAGCCGUGCGGAUAAUGUGCAAUGUACAGAAGCUUUGCCAUGUGCUUGUCAUUGUUUCAGCUCUCUGAGUCUAAAGAAGCAUUUGUUAAUCUUUUUGUGCUUAUUUUAAGGAACAGUUCUGGUUAUCCACCAAUUUCUGUGAAAUUCCAUGAAACGUGUCUUCACUUCAGCUUAGCAGGACAUUCACACCAGUAAUUUGAAUACUGGUUUUACUUAAACAUCUCCAGUGAAACAUUUCGAGGGUGCAUCAUUCUUUUUAGGGUCUUCAUAUUUCCUUGUUCUGAAAAACAACCUUCCUCCCUGCUAUGUCAAGGGCAUGUGCUCACUGCCUGGACUGGUUUUGUACAUUUUAUCUUUCUAUUUAUUUCCUUGUGUGAAAAUGGGCAUUUUGAACAAUAGGAUACCAUGUGUAGCACAUGGUGAGAUCUGAAAGCCUUAAUUUUAAAAACAAUUACAUCGUAAAUGCAUCUGUCAAGCGAGUGGAAAACCUCUAUAUCAAGUAGGGCUGACAAAAAAGAUGAAGAUGCAAUUGCUUCUGGUUUAGUCUCCUAUUUUCUUCAUGAGGUUUAAAGCCUUUCCUUGUGGUACUUGGGAUGGUUCCCUGCAUCCCAGUGACUUGCUCCAAUGGACUGAAUAAAUCAUUUUAUCUUUGUGCACAGAUAAUGGCAGUUUUUACCUCCACUAGGUGUCAAGAAGCCAAUGUGCUCAGUGUAUGUCAACUAUGAGAAGUUGUUUAUUAUGGUCAUUGCAAGGCAAAGUGCCAGGAACCGCUAAUUGGACAAAAUGCAGAAACACAGAGUGUCACCAGAGACUCCACAUCUUCUAGCUGUGCUGGCCUGUACAAACCUAAGGAGUAAGUGCUGCAAAAAUCGACAUUGCAACUGAUAAGUGGGGUUGUGAAACCAUUCAUUCCUCAUGCACCUGGGCCAGUCUUCAAUGCAAUGUUUUUAGUUUUUAGUAUUAAAUGUUGAUAUCAUUUCAGUGGGGGAAGAUGAGAAUAAUGGAGCAGGUUCCUUCCUCAGUGUCAUCCGAGCACAGACUUUUUAUUCUCUGAUGUACUUCAGAGCAUUGUCAUAAAUUGUAUGUCUGCAGAAGUUUAAAACCCUUCUUGAGACUGGAUCUGAGCAAGUAUUACUGCUGUUCUGCAGGAAUGUGAGCACUGACCUCACUGAAAUGAAGUUGCUUGCUCAGGAUCACACGAGAAAACAAAAUUAAUUUCUUUAAUUUCAAGUCAUAUUUUGACUCCCACACUUCCUCUCUCCUUAGCAUUAUUAUUACUAGUAAGUAUGUAUUCUGGUAUAGCGUGAAGCAUGGUUAGGUCAUAGUUUCUGGCUGUGUGUACAAGCUACCAUGUAAAGUCAUUUCCACUGAGAAAAAUAAACAUUGAAAUAAUGGGGGAAAAACCAGGAUAAAAUGAACCCAAAUAGGCAGUCAGCUGGCAAAAAUGGGGUUUGACUCUUCAUCUGUGAGAGGGUCAAAACUAGUCUGAUCUAUAAAACCCCCAAACAAUAAACAAGAGAUGAAAAAGCAGCUAAACAAGUGAGAAAAGUCAUGGCUGCUUGUUGGCAGGCGUGUUAUCCACAGAGAACCACCACAGCCCAGCCCUCCUGUGUGACUCAGUGCAAAGGCUGUCUGCAGCCGGUGGGACUGGCUCCCUCUGCUCAAUCAGUGGCUUCCUGAACAAUGAGGGGGAAAAAUCAUGAGAACUAUGAUGAAUAAUAUCCUUAUAAAAAUAUGAAUUUAAUUGCUCUAAUUGCUUAAACAAUGAGUUGUCAAGUGCUUAGUGCAGACUGUAAUGCAGGAGAACUGGAGUAGUCAAAUUAACAGGUUAAUAGUUCCUCUUUGCUUGCAUCCUCACAUGCCACACGGGGAACUUCAAAUGCUGUCUCCAAACCAGAAGAGGAGCAGGAGCUCCUCAUACGAUUAUGUCAUUUAUGUGACUUGCUACAUCAGGACAGUAGUGGUGGGAAAAAGUGUAACGGAGUUUACAUGACGCCCCUGUGCAGUUCUAGAUCUCUUAGACCAAGCUGCCCAUGUGUCCAUCCUGUAACAGAGUAAUAGCUGAUAAAAUCAGAGGAACCACUGAUAUUUAUAGAUCGGUGUUAUUGGCCUAAUCUCCUAAAAGCAAAAGGGAGCAUUCUCUACAACCCAGCACUGGAAAGUACUUUGUCUUGCAAAUAUGCCUCAGUUUCUCCUAAGGAUCCUAAUCCCAGAAGCAAAGCUACCGUCUGCCUUCCCGGGACUGCCGGCCAACGUGGCUGCAGGGAUGGACACAGCCCCUCUGGGCAGGACUGAAUCCACAGGUCAUGUCACAGAGGAAGCUAAGAAGUAAAAAUAGGUGUCUAGAUAAUAAGGCAUUGCAUCUCAUUACCAGUUCCCUGAGAAAGCCAACAUCCCUCUAUCAUUCCUCUCAAAAGGAUGCUUCCUUAUAAUUACAUAUCACUUUAUUAGGCAGCUGAAGCAAAGAGCACGUUUGAUGCUAAUGAAGUGCUGCUGUGGUUGAGUCUGUCACUAUUUUUGGAGCCACACAUCUCCAGCACUUUUGAUUGGGUGAGGGAGGCUUUGGAUGUCUCCAGCUUCUGCUGUGGGGGCUGCACAGGGAAAAGCAAUGACUCAGCGAGCCAGGACUGCAGAGCUGGUUACAUGCUCAGAAUGAGAAACGCCGCGGGACAGCGAGAACACGCACAAAAGCUCUUUAUGUGGUGGAAGUAUUUUUCAGGUAGCGGGCAGCAUUAUCUAGAUCAAACAAUCCUUCUGAAUAUUCACUUUGUGUCGGUUAUCUGGCCGCUCCUUGUUUUUCCACUUUUCCACCCAUUACCUCAGAGCAGUUCAGAAAAAAAGCCAAGAUAUCACAGAACUCCAGGAAAAUAUUUCCGAGGUUAGGAGUGAGACAAGUCACAGCUGUCCACCAGCACCAAUCCUGACGCAGACACGGGCUUUGCCAGCUCCAUUUUCUGCAGCAGAGCUGAGGAGCUGCUCAGCAUCAUGAAAGCAUCAUUUGGUGUUAAAAUCUGACUUAUCAUCCAGUGCCCCUGGGAACAGGCCUGCUCCCACCCUCCUUUGUGUCACCACCAGCAUUCAGCUGGUCCCACGGUGACUCAGUUCAGGAUCUAAACAAAAAUAUUCAUUCCUUCCUCUCUCCCCACCUCACAGGGUUGUUACUGCUCACCACUAGUCAGACAGGACAGGACCGGGGCAAGGGAGGCACUGGCAGCACGUGGGACUGUUUCUGCACACCAGGACCUGUUAAGACAACUAAAUUACAUUACCACAUCACUUCCUGACAGCACGCUGGCAGCCAGAGCCUCCCCUUCUGUAAACAAGGUUAAUGGUUCCAAGUAUCAUUUCAUGUCUUCUGAGACACAAACAAGGAACAUGUCAGAGUAAUCAAUAAUUAUAGAAAACAUCAUUGUAUCUAAAUGCCUCGUUACUCUUAGGCUGCCCCACAGGGCUGUGUUGUUACUACAACCUCUGUUCCUGGAGGGGAAGGGAUGACUGAAGCACUAGCACCUCUUACCUGUUCUCUUAGACUGCAACUGUGUGAUCACAUCUUGGUUUGCUGCAGACUAUUUUGAUCAAGAUGUUUACUUGCUGGUUUGGGACUUUUCUUGUUUAAGUGUUUCCAUAUACAACUUUUACUAGAAGUGAGCUUUCUAAGCAUAUUGGGUUAAGAUUUUUAAGUAUCAGUAAACGUAUCUCGGUCCUGGCAGCGAGAUGCACACAACACUUGUGUAUCUUCUUAGAGCUGAUUUAUGUAAACAGGCCAGUCCAACCACUGCAGUAAAAGCUCAUGUCAGCUAAAGAAACCUCUGACUUUAUCCACGUACAACAUUAUCCAUAUACAACACAAGAUGUACCUCAUCAGUCAUAGUUCCAGUGACAGGGAAGAACAAAAACACCCUUCUGGGGCAGCUACAUCACAGAGAGCCGCAGGAGACAUGCAGCCAGCCCACGGGCCAGGAGUGCUGCACCGGGCAGAGCUUGCUCCCUGGCUCCCUCUGCUGAACCCCAUUAACAUUUAAUGUUAAUUACCAAGAGGAAGAUGGUGGAAGAGUGACCAGUGUUAAAAGCUUCUGUACCCUGCACCACCAGCCAGCAUCAGCUCUGAAGAUGCCUUGGUGUGGGGAUCCACUGAGCCCGGUAUUCCGCAGGCAUGGGAGCUUCUUCACUGGCUCUGGAGCACUCCAAUUGUGAUUCCUCCUCCCCAGCAAGCGUGGCUGGUGUGUAACAUUGAGGCCCCCACUUCAGUGAGGUUCUAUCACUCCCUUUUCUUGAAGCUGGCAUGAAUUUGAUGAAAUCUUUACUCCCUGUCAAGUCUGACCCCACUGGCUACUUUCAGCUAAGAAUUAAUAGGAAGACAGAUGGUGCCAUUACAUAAGCCUCGGUUCCUGUCUAAGGCUGGCUAAGGAAGAGCCGGAGCAUGCCAGGUUUGUUAAGUCUGUACCUCCUCAGUCCUUGUAAGAGCAGAGCUAUUGCUGCCUGAGCAUCCUCUUCCCAGUAUCUGAUACCUGACCUCAACAGAUAAAGAAACCAGACAGGACCUUCUCAUCUCCUUCCUGCCAGGUUUUGAGAUAGAAAAUUUGUUGAGACUCUGGAAGUUACCCUGAUAGGAGAAUACUUUCAAAGAAACAGCUUCUGGAAUUUAACUCAUUUCUGAGCCUAUGGAAUUGGGAAUGAUGCUUUUACUUUUCGAUCAAAGCAGGUAGCAUUCUUCCUGAUUAAAAGUGUUACAUCCCACAUGGAUAAACAAAGAAUAGGAAAUAAAGAUGGGAUUUGGGAAGGGACAUA